CCACCACAGCUGCCACUUGGGCCCUGAUGCCAGAAGUCAGGCAGUGGCUGGCUCUGACUGGGGCCGGGCUCAUAUUAACCUGUCCUCUGAUGUGAGGGCCAAAGGACAGGCCUGUGAAUUGGGAGGCCAUUGUGGCAGCAGAACUGAGAGGUGCAAGUUGAGAGAGGUAUGUGUGUGUGUGUCUGUGUGCAUGUGUGCGCGCGCGUGCAUUCCCCACUUAGAACUCCUGGUGGCUUCUCUCCCAAUCUGCAGAAACAGAGGAGCCAAGGCUCCCCUUCCGUCUAACCAGCUGCUACUGCCCAGCUCAGAGGGCUGGCUUCCCGACUGUCAGUUCACCCUUGGAUCUGGCUGGCCUGGCAGCCUGCAGAGGCAAACCCUGGGAAUGGCCUGUGAGCCUGUGGAGGUGGGGUUCUGGGGGCCUAUUGCAGUUUACUUCCUGCUCUCUCCACCAAUCAGGAAGGAGGGAAGGUGACAGGCUACCCACCCCCAUGGCUGGGGUGUGGCCCCAAGGGCAACCCCAGGCUCCUGUGUGUUGAAAGGGUAUGAGGGCCACCUGGGGCAAGGGGUUCGCCUGCCCUGUCUGCAGCCCUCCUCCUCCCUCCAGCCCCUUGCAAUGCUGAUCAGGGACCAAGGUCCAGCUGCAGUGUUCUUGUAGUCUCUGGGCCAUGGCCAUUGCCCUGGUGGAACUCAGAGUCUCUACUCCUCACUCGUCCCCCCCAGCCCCCCCAGCAUUCCUAAGGUCUGGCUGUCACCUAGGAGACAGGUCUGUCUGCUGGCCUAAGAAAAGAUGGGGGUGCCAAGAGGGCUAGGCCUCAGCAGUGCCCUGCUGAGGUAAAUCCAGUGGCUACUGGCUGCAGUCUCACCUUAGGGGUCACCCCUACCCAACUCUGCCAACCUCUCAGGUCCACUAGGCCCAGGCAUUGAGCCCUUCCCUCCCCCAACACCAAGGCCGUCUCUCCCUACCCCCCAUGUGGGUCUCCUGCGCUCCUGUCAUGGGGACACUGGGCGGGCACUGGGACUCACCCCAAGCCCCGCCUGCUGCCUCACCCACGCCCUCUGCCUCCCUGGGGCAGAACUGUGCCCAGACUAUGGGGUGGAGCCGAGGCGGCUCCAGCUCCUGCAGCCCUUUCUGUCCCUUUCAUUGGAGCCAGUAGGCUGCAGUGAAGCGGGUGUCCUCUUACGUUGAGCUCCCAAGCCUGGACCCUGCUGCCCCCACCACCACCUCUGGGCCUGCCACCUCCUGAGCCACCUUCCUGCCUGAUCUGAGCAGAGUCAUGGCCUUGAGAGUAGGUGACCAGAGCCGGGCUGCACGGAAUGGGCUGAGGGAGAAGGUGCUGACACUGGACUCCAUGAACCCGUGUGUGCGCAAGGUGGAGUACGCCGUGCGUGGCCCCAUAGUGCUGCGGGCCUUGGAGCUGGAGCAGGAGCUGCGCCAGGUACGGUCCCGAGGCCCUGCUACCCUCCUGCUGUUCCUGGGCUACUAGAUCAGCCUCUGGCCCAGUGGCACUUGGGACUAGGGCUGUGGGGGUAAUGGUGCCCAAUCUGGCUGCCUUCUCCCUUUCCCUCCCAGGGUGUGAAGAAACCCUUCACCGAGGUCAUCCGUGCCAACAUUGGAGAUGCACAGGCCAUGGGGCAGAGGCCCAUCACUUUCUUCCGCCAGGUGAGGCUCCUGUACUGCCUGUGUCCCCUGGCUCCAGCCAUCAGUGUGCCCUGACCUCAUCAUUCCGUCCGCCCAGGUCUUGGCCCUCUGUGUCCACCCAGAUCUCUUGCACAGCCCUGACUUCCCUGAGGAUGCCAAACGAAGGGCUCAGCGCAUCUUGCAGGCAUGCGGGGGCCACAGCCUGGGUGAGUGCUGGUGCCAGGCGGGGACCAAGCCCCAGGAAGAAGCAGAGAAGGGUGGAUCUCUUGGGAGGGUUGCGGGAGGACUAGCCACUUUCAUGGGUCUGCUCUGCUCUGCUUGCCGGAGUCCAGGGGCCUAUAGCAUCAGCUCUGGCAUCCAGCUGAUCCGUGAGGAUGUUGCACGGUACAUCGAGAGGCGAGAUGGAGGCAUCCCUGCUGACCCCAACAACAUCUUCCUGUCCACGGGUGCCAGUGAUGCCAUCGUGGUAGGCUGGGCCACGGCAGGACACAAUGGCUCUUCAACUGUGGUUCCACAGGGCAGGGGACGGGUGCAGCCCCUUGGCCCUGCCAACACUGCGCUCCUCCCCCUGCCCACAGACGGUGCUGAAGCUGCUGGUGGCUGGUGAGGGCCGCCGGCGUACAGGCGUGCUCAUCCCUGUCCCGCAGUACCCGCUCUACUCGGCCACUCUGGCCGAACUGGACGCUGUGCAGGUGGACUACUACCUGGAUGAGGAGCGCACUUGGGCACUCGAUGUGGCUGAGCUGCGGCGCAGGCUGUCUCAAGCACGUGACCACUGCUGCCCACGCGCGCUCUGCGUGAUCAACCCCGGCAACCCCACCGGUGCGCCACCUCCCUGCCCCACCUACCCUGACCCCUCCAGCUGCUACAUGCUCCUAGGCCUACCACAAUGGGUCAGUCAACCCCCACUGUCCAGAUGAGCAGGGGUGGGGUGGUGGGUGCCCGCAGUUGACCCUGGCCGCGCUGCUGUCCCCAGGGCAGGUGCAGACCCGGGAGUGCAUCGAGGCUGUGAUCCGCUUCGCAUUCGAAGAGGGACUCUUUCUGAUGGCUGAUGAGGUGCUUACAGGGAUGCGCAAGGGAGGGUGGCUGCGGGUCAGCGGCCGGCCGCGUGACGACAGCGCCCCUGCAGGUGUACCAGGACAACGUGUACGCAGAGGGCUCGCGCUUCUACUCCUUCAAGAAGGUGCUCACCGAGAUGGGCCCACCGUACUCCACGCAGCAGGAGCUUGCCUCCUUCCACUCAGCCUCCAAGGGCUACAUGGGCGAGUGCGUGUGGGCCGGUGGCGGGGGGGGGUUCUUGGACUCCAGCCACUUUCCUGCCCCCUUCUUCCCGGCUGGGCCUCGACCUUGACGCCUGCCCUACCUGGCAGGUGCGGGUUCCGCGGUGGCUACGUGGAGGUGGUGAACAUGGACCCCGAAGUGCAGCGGCAGAUGCUGAAGCUGAUGAGUGUGCGGCUGUGCCCGCCUGUGCCGGGCCAGGCCCUGCUGGACAUGGUGGUCAGCCCGCCAGCACCCUCUGACCCCUCCUUUGCGCAGUUCCAGGAGGUGAGGGAAAUGAGGCCAAGGGCAUCUGGCGAGCCAGUUGGGAAAAGGAUUGAGGGCUAUUGUGUCCCUGCCAUGCCCUGAUUGUCCCCUCCGUGGCUGCAGGAGAGGCAAAUGGUGCUAGCUGAGCUGGCGGCCAAGGCCAAGCUCACGGAGCAGGUCUUCAAUGAAACUCCUGGCAUCAGAUGCAACCCAGUGCAGGGUGCCAUGUACUCCUUCCCUCGAGUGCAGCUGCCCCCCCGGGCGGUCCAGCUUGCUCAGGUCUGGUGGGGCAGGGCAGGGUGGGGCGGAGGCCUGGGCAUAGAGCUCUGACCGCCCUCCACACCGCAGGAGCUCGGCCUGGCCCCAGACAUGUUCUUCUGCCAGCGCCUCCUGGAGGAGACCGGAAUCUGCGUGGUGCCUGGGAGCGGCUUUGGGCAACUGGAGGGCACCUAUCACUUCCGGUGAGACCAGGCCCGCACAGCCUGCCAGUGCCUGCUGUGCCCCCUUUGGCUUAUAGCUUGCCCUUUCCAGGAUGACCAUCCUGCCCCCCAUGGAGAAGCUUCGACUGCUGCUGGAGAAGCUGAGCCGUUUUCAUGCCAAGUUCACCCGGGAGUACUCCUGAGGCCACCACAGGGACCAGGCUGGGCUGCCUGGACUGACUUUGCCCAGGGACCUGGUGGUCUCUGGACCCCUCAGAACUUGCUGCUGCCCCUUGGGGGCUGGGCAUCUCUCUCUGCCAGUUCCUAAUAAAGCUGAGUGUGGUUAUGACUCUGGAGGGGUGAGCCCCACUUCCAUGGGUG
rnacentral:lncRNA from 1 species